UUUUUAUAUAUUUAUAUAUAUAUAUAAGGAUAAAGAUAGAGUCCAUUUUUACACGCUAUGUUUGGCAACGAUGUAAGUCAUUGUAAAAAGAAAAUCCGUUGGCUUUUUAGACCGUGAGGGUUCAAGUCCCUCUACCCCCAUUGAAAUUCAAUAUCUUUCAAUAUUGACAUAAAAUUUACUUUCAUGUUAAUAUUUUCCAUGAUAAAAGUGCCGGGAUAGCUCCGU
rnacentral:misc_RNA from 1 species